CCUGUGUGCCCGGCCCCUGAGGGGUCGUGGCCGCUCUGGGCAAAGGCCGAGGCACUCGCCCUCACCCCGCUCGCGAGCCUCGUGCCGCGCAGCAGGAUGGGGAGAGCUGCUUUCACAACCUGGACGUGUUGUCACUCACAUCCAGACAUUUCCUGUUAUCUAACCUCAGCCUUAUCUUCCCCAUUCGCAGCUUCCUCUUGAAGGAGGAGCAGCCCCUUCAAAACCGAGCUGUGUGCCCGGGCUGAGCCCCCACAGCGCUCCUGCACGACCCCCGCCGCGGCCCCGGCCCGGCCUGCCGCAGCUCUGGAUGGCCCCACGAUGUUGCAGAACAGUCUGACAGCCCUGUAAAAAUGCCUGAGCGAUGAUGUGCAGCCUGGAGGGGACGUUUUGUGAAUUUGGCUGGCGUCCAGCGAGGACACCGUGACCGCGGGAGCUGCAGUGUGGCACUGCGUGUAUUUGACAAGCUGAGUCCGACACUCAGUGCGCAGAGUGUCAGUUUGUCAAAUACCCCAAGUGAGGCACUGCUGAGCAACGCGACCUCGAGGGUGCAGCCCUUUCCUCCUCCUCUGGCAGGAGCCUUCCUCUCCAGGCUCGGCACUUCUCCAGAAACCCACCGAGGUACUGAGCAGCCCAUCCCAUUGUUCCAGAACACCUGACUGAUGCUGUGCUGCCGGGUUUCCCUUCCACCUUGGUUUUGGAAGUAUUUGUCAGGGUAUCCUCCCAACAUUAAAUCAGAGCAGAAGUGGUGCUGGUGCAACUUCUCUAUCCUAUGAAGACAGGGAAUUGUGCCCUGGUUUCUUGUUAUUUGCAUCCAAAUACAAUGCUGUUCUCUUACACAGCAUUAACUAGCCAGCUGUAAUUUAAGCUCAGUUAACAAGGAUCCUGGCUCAGUUAACAAGGAUCACAUCAUCAUGGGUAAAGGCAGCAUUAUCCAUAAUAAAGAAUCUUGCCUUUGCACAUGUAGUAAUCUUUUUUUAUAUGGAGUACAAACUAAUGAGGAUGCUCAUUAACUUCCCUCUGGCCCAUUAGCCUGUGAAAAAUGCAUGUUUGCUCAAUAUGUUUUAAAUUAGGACAUGGAGUCCAUUGCCCCUCCUGGGAGCCUUGCUGUUUGGAGAAGACUUCUUGUCUUUGUAUGGUUAUUCCUAGUCAGCACUUACAGCAAGGUUGCCUAUUCUGCUAUUUAAUUAAAGUAUUCCCUCUAAAUCAUCCCACUUGAAGAUGUAAUGAUUGCUAAGUGUUUUCAGUAACUGACUUGUUCAGAUAUGUCAGGGUAGGGGAAUGAGAGGGGCAGCAUCCAGCCCAAUUUGACAAAUCAAACUCUGAAAGCAUUUGACAUGGAAAACUCAAAAAUAAAAAAAAUCCCAAGACUCUACUGACUAGUUUUAGGACAGUACCAUCAGCAAAUUUUGCAAUAUUUGAGAGUACUAAUAAACUGGAAUACUGAGCUUUUGGGCUUUUUGUUGCAACUAUUUUCUUAGUAAAUAUUUUGAAGAAGCUGGAGUUUGUACAAAGCUGGAACCCAUGAAUGUGUAUCGUUGCCUAAGCAAAUUGUGUUCUGCUUUUUGACUAGCUUGCACACUUCUGGACCAACAUGGUCCACAAGUGGUCCAGAAAUGGCCCUACUCCUUAUGACUCAAACUCCCAUGGUCUCCCUCAAGCACCUCCUCAUGACUCACAGACAACACCCUGAUCUUUACCAUGGAGGUUAGCUUCAAAAGAGAGCAAGGUCUAUCAUUUCAGGCUUUGCUUUGUCCCCAGUGGAUCCUCCAUGAAGCACACAGCCAUGUCAGCCCCAAGCCUUGCUGUCACUCAAACCUUGAGGUUUCAACAGACCAAACCUCCUUUGCACCACAGCUGGCCAAGGGUUUCUUUAUGCCCUUCAUUCAUGUUUUCUCACGCAUUUCCAAUUUUUGCUUCCAGUAGUUUGCCCUCUGCUUUAUAGAUAACUCUCUCCUUCAGCUCCCAGAUCCUUCCAGAUGACUAGGGUGAAGGGGAAGAAAGUAAACCCCUUCCUCUCUUACAAGAACAAGCAUCAAAUUACAAUGGGACAAAUUUCUCUGGGACUUCAUCUCCCACCUUCCUGCUCUGAAGUAUGGUACAAACCCAGCAGGUGUAAAAGCCAACAGGUCCCCUCCAUGGGACAGGCACUGCAAGGGGAACUGUGAGUCUCAUGACACUCUGCUGGCCACUCAAGAUGGUGUGUUUUUGGGAGGCAGUGUCCUUUCAGGGCAGAAGCUGAGCUUUUCCUUCCGUUCUGGAGCAGAGCUCAGCAGAUGAGC